rnacentral:rRNA from 1 species
UACGAAGGGGGCUAGCGUUGUUCGGAAUUACUGGGCGUAAAGGGCGCGUAGGCGGUGUGUCAAGUCAGGCGUGAAAGCCCCGGGCUCAACCUGGGAACCGCGCUUGAGACUGGCACGCUCGAGUUCGGGAGAGGAUGGUGGAAUUCCCAGUGUAGAGGUGAAAUUCGUAGAUAUUGGGAAGAACACCGGUGGCGAAGGCGGCCAUCUGGACCGCAACUGACGCUGAGGCGCGAAAGCGUGGGGAGCAAACAGG